GUGCUUGCUUCGGCAGCACAUAUACUAAAAUUGGAGCAAUACAGAGAAGAUUAGCAUGGCCCCUGAGUAAGGAUGACAUGCAAAUUUGUGAAGCGUUUCAUAUUUUU
ensembl:snRNA U6 U6 spliceosomal RNA